AAUAAAUAAAUAAAUAAAAUAUAACAAAAAAAUCUUGGACUUGGACCUCUCUCAUUUGAGCCCACAAAGCCACGAAAAUCAGGUUAUAAAUUCUAAAAAAUAAUUCAGUGGAAAACCCCUAGAGAGAUUCUAACUAAUUCAAAGCAACCUCCAGAGACUGAAGGGAACUCAUCUGCAAAGAACCAAUUCCCUCUCAUAUAAACCCUAAGAUUGUUCUGCAAAGCCAACAGUGCAAUUCA
rnacentral:lncRNA from 1 species